GGAAGGGGAGGGGGGAGGACUGCCUGGAGACAGCAUUUGCUUAGUUCUGCUGCCCGUUCUCCUCCUUCGCUUUGGUGGAAAUGUUUCCAAAUUCCAGACCAUCCACACUAGUAACACUGACCUAAGAUUGUUAAAGUACCUCCUAUUUUGAUAUACUGUGAAUGCUACCCAAUGUUCCUAUUUUAGAUGAGAAGUAUGUUGGAAUAGGGAAGAAAGGUAUUAGAGCAGAAGCUUGGGAAGCUCAAAGUCACCAGGAAGACAAGAGCAUAACUGAAUUCUAGUUUUGAUUCUAUAACUAAUCAGCUAGUUUGUUAUGUCUUCCCACCCAUGAUUCCCACCUACCUAGAGUAAAUAUAUGCUGUUGAAUGAUCUUGGGAAAGACACCUAGUCUUUGUUAGUCUCAGUUUCCUAACCCAUCAAAUUGGAACAGUAGACCUCAAACUUUAGUGUUUCGGAAUUAAAUAGAAUGCUUAUUUAAAAUGCAGAUUCCUUGGCUCCAAAUCUAUAAAUUCAGAUUCGGUAGAAAAAAUACGCUGGGAUCCAGCAAUCCACAUUGAUUUGAGAAACUUGGGCUGUUAAGGGGCAGAAAUCCAACUCAAAAAGGAAAGUUUGUUUCAUUGCUUAUUCUCCCUGCUACAUACAUAUUCUCACACAUACUCACAUAAAUUGGAAAAUACAGUGUAAGGACUGCUUUAGGCAUAAUUAGAUCUAGCCGCUCAAAUAAUAACCAACUAUCUCUUGGUCCUCUUUUCUUCUGUUUUCUCUUUAUCCUCAGGUUGGUUGUCCCUUUACUAGAGUAAGCUACUCCCUCCAGGCUUCCAUUCUUCUGACAUAGAAACCCCAGCACAAAGAGCGCUCCUCUUUCUCAAAGUUUCCAGAAAUUAUACCUGGUUGUGACUGGAUCAAAUUGCACCCUGUACCCAGACCUGCACUGAUCACCCUGGUCAGGGGCUGCAGUUCUUUAACUCACCAGCCUUGGGUCACAUGCCCAUCUUGGAUUUGAGAGUGUUAGCCACACUACCCAAAUCAGGUAGUCUGGGAGUUCUCCAAGACACACUGGGGAUAAUUUCCCAGAAAUAGGGAAAGUGGAUGCUUAUUGGCCCAAACUGUAGAUUUCCAUCCACUACUGUACAUUUCCUAGAAGUACUUAGAUGAGAAUAAGCCAACUGCUCUGUUACAAAUGGAUGACCAGUGUACCAAGAUAUUGAGGCCUUCAACCUUUCAGGUGACCCAACAGCACCUGGGAAGGGCUUACGAUGGUCAGAGUCCCUCAGCCAGUUGCCUCAACCAUUUACCCCAGCGUUUUUGGCCAACAUUAAGCAUUUUCUAUGUGCACCACGAAGAUGAUUUAUAUGCAGCUCACCUGUGACUUGCACGUUGCGAAUCAAUGGAUUUUGAGAAUCAUUCACACUUUGGGGUCAUCUCAAACACAAUAAUAUUGUUAUUCUAAGAUCUUCCUGAGAUAACUUGGAAGUUGGCUUACGCAAAUGAAAGGACAAUAAAAGCUCCCCUUACGGUGCAAAAAAGUAGGACAGACAAACAAGCAGGGCCAACAGUUAUAUCCUACUUUGAAUUGGUUUUCAGCUUGGUUUUAUUUAAUAUUCUUGGGCAAAUGUAGUCUGUUCCAUCUAAUGGAUACAGUCCUAGUCUAGAUCUCAGUUAAUGUCUGGAACACGAAUGGAUGCACGUUAUACAACAGUGUAAAGGGUUAAGCUGGCAACAGCAUAGAACAGAAAACUGAGUUAACUAUUGGCCAUCAGUUAUGUUUUAGGUGCAUUAUGUGCAAGUUCAUGGAAAAAGUGACUUCUAAUAAAUGGACUGUCAGCCCAUUCUUUUGUUAAGUGAAGAGGCUACUACGUUUUCUUAAACUCAUUAAUAAGAUUAGCAAAAUAAAAUGUCUACCUCUUCAUUUUACUACUAAGUCAUUAGUGUAGUUUCAGAUGGCCUCUCCAUGCCCUCCCUCCCCAUUUUCAUCUCCUCCAAAGCAACCCAAUAUGCCAAAGAAAGUAUUUUCAACACAUGGUGCUAGAAUGACUAGACAUCCAUAGAGAAAACAAACAAACAAAAAGCCCUUGAUCCGUCCCUCACAUCAUACACAACAAUUCAUUGGCAACAGAUUAUAGCUAUAAACGUAGAAGCUAAAGCCCUAAAGCUUGUAGAGCUUUACGUUUUAAAACGUAAGUUGGAGAUAGACAAAGGUUUCUUAGAGAAGCCAAAAAAAAUCAAUAAUCAUAAAAGAAAAAAAUAGAUAAAUUACAUGCUAAAAUAAAAAGUUUCUCCUCAUCUAAAGGAAAGAGGGGGAGGAAUAAAGCCUGGGAAUCCAUGAUCAAACAAUCAUUGCCAUCAGGAGGAUUUCCUCUCUUGUGCAUUAGUUCAAGUCGUUUUGACUUGUAAGUGAUUGAAGCUGACUCUGAGCUCAAGCAAAAAAGGAAAAGCAGACUGGGGCUUUUCAUGGAAUCCAAAGUCAGGGGCGCAAUGCGGCCUCACAGAACAGAAGUCCUGAAGUGCUAGAGGGAACCCAGUCAAUCUUCUUUCUCCAUAUCUCUUCUUUGGCUUUCUUCCUUAUGACUGUCCAGCUGCUCCUCUCCUCAGUUACGUAGCAGAACAUGGUUGCAGGCUGUUCUCAAGCCAUGGAUGUUCCAAUGGAGCCAUCCAGAGACAGGACCAUCUUUCUGUCUUUCACAAUUCUCAAGGAAGAGUCUGAUCGGUCCACUGGGGUCCAUGACCACCCUUAAUCCAAUAAACUGACCAGAGGAAGGACAAUGUUUAAAGAACACAGCAGUUCCUUUCAUCUAUGAGAAUGUAGGGUGAAAAGAAAUUGAAUUCUAGUUGAUAUUAACUCCACGUUUCCUCUUUAUUAGACAAGAGACAGAGUUGAUGAAAAUUUUGUACUUGGUCAGUUUUUAAUGGCUACAAAUUUUGAUGUAUUGAUGUACUAUCUCUUUGGUUAUCUAACCUCAGCAUCUCUGCAUUUCUGCAAGUUGACUGAUAUAUAUUAAGGACCAUAAACAAAAUUAGUCCAUUUUUUAAAUGGGCAAAUUUAUUUGUGAAUUAUUAGCCAAGAUCUAUCCAAAUGCAGACAUGCCUUGUUCUAGUCUGAAUAUACAAUAAAAUUAAUUUAAAUAACUUUAAUCAGCUUCAAAAACAGCAAAUUUCAAGACAAUUAGGUUAACUUUAAGAACUCAUAUUUAUUGAGUUAACAGAUGGUAAAUUAAAAAACAAUGAAGUUAAUUUUUUAAAUCAUUCAUUGAAUUAGAAAAACAGACAUUUAACAAAACUGUUUUUAAGCUGGGUUUUUUCUUUCAUCCCAAUAUGCAUAUGUUAAGAUUCCAAUUUGGGGGACUUCUGCAAAGACACUGAAUGAGCUGCAAUAUAUGAAUACACUCUUCCACCGAAUUACUUUUUUAAAGGCUUUAAAACCAUCUGUAGAAGAAUUUUAUGCAUCAACAGUAAAAAUAUGAGAAAUAAACAUAUUCCAGAUAUUGGAAGGAAUGAAGAGUCUACUUUGUCACAUUCAUACUGUAACAUGUUUCUGUGGCCUUCAGUGUUGCUGGCCCUGACAUACCUUGGGAGUUUCCUAUGCUAUAGCAGAGUAAAAGUUACUCCUGGGCAGAAUUGCAUUACUGCAUUUUAAUGGUCAAACAUAAGACUUCCCUUUGAUGGCUUCUUGGGCCUUGUGCACCAAUGACUUGAAAUAUAUAAGCAUCACAAAAUGUUCUCCUUUGUUCCUUUUUUGUUCUCUCCUUUGCUUUCUUGGUAAGUGCUAGAAGCUGGCCCCGUAAGCUUAUAAGGAAAGGGGAAUUUCAUGGAAGUACAUUGAAGGCAUGGGAGCUUUUCCUCUGUAGAUGGAAUUGGAGAUAACACCACUGAUAAAUUAAGAUAUAUCGUUUGCAUUUUACUGGCUAUUGUUAAUUUUAACAUGAUGGCCUGUCUAGAACUAGAGUUAUACAUGUGGAAGCAAAAUUAUUCCAUAAAAAUAAUUGGAAUAGAUUUGUUUGAAUGGCUGGUUGCUCAGUUGGUGUUGUAGUCCUUUCCUUACCUUAGACAGUUACAAACUGUAAUAUAAUUUAUUUCAUGGUCCUAAGAACUCGUUGUCUAAAAUGUGGUCUUACUUUACAUUGUAAGUCUAACAUUACUUGGUCAGUAAUGUUGAGAACUAUAUUUAUUGAUUUUGAAAUAAAAAUUUAUUCUUUGUAAUUUGAGUUAAAAACAGAUUUAAAAGCACACUUAUUAAAAUUACUGUAGUAAACAUUAUUUUAUUAUUGUGCAUUUCAAACUGUUUAGCCCCUAGCCCCUUUUCUCCUUGAAAUAAUUGUUUUUUAUAGUAACCUUUUGAUAAUAUGAGGUGUCUUAGGAAUGCAAUUAUAACAAUAUAGCAGGACAGACUCUUUUGUUUUUAAUUUAACAAGAACAGGUAAAAAUCAGAAUAGAUUGUGACUAAAUAAAAAAUUCAGCAAGUGAAAUUUCUGUUUUGCAGAAGUAGAAAUGAGGGAUACAGAAGAUAAACCUCAUAACUAGUCUAACUAUCCAAAGAAAAUGAAUAAAAGUUAAAAGGAUAAGAGGAAAAUGGGCAAGUUCUGGAGUUCUAGCUUAGAUCGUAAGCUCCUUGAGAACAAUAAACAUCUUAUUGUAAUCCUACCCCAACGGAGUGCUUAACACAGUAUAUACUGUUAGUGUGAGAUAAAUAUUUCUUGAAUUUAUGAACAGAAUGAUGAAAACAAUUCAUUUAUUUAUGAAUAAAAUAAAAUUUAUGAGUCAAAUGAUCCACCUGAAAAUAGAGCAGGUGGAUCAGAAGUAAAAAUCAAAGUUGUACCAGAAGAAGACUUUCUACAUGUAAAAGCCACAGUGACACUGUAAGGUUUCUUUUGGGCAAAACUAAGGAACAGAGAUAAAUGUCUGGUCAUAGGCUGGUAAAUUUUUAAAUUUCUAAGACAAACAAAAUUCCUGCAAGUAUCUAGGAAAACAUAUAUGUGCUCUUGUAGAUUGCCUUCAUAUUUCUAAUAUAGAACAAGAACUUUUUUAAGACCAUAGUUCAAUUUCUACACAAUUUUAAGAGAAACAAGUUUGAUUCUGCAAGUUUUAUGCCUACCCAAUUAUUGGCUUAUAUGUAUAAACAACAGAAGAACAUUUUUAAAUCUGCAAGGUGUCAGAUUAUUUUCUGUAAAAAUUGCAAAGAGAUAGCUUCCAGAUCACUAAGAGGUGAGACAGUACAAAAAUUCAAGAAUAGGAAAUUUCAGGGAAAAAGAUUAGUGCUAAUUUAACAUAGAAGGUAAAGACAAAGUAAUAAAUGAAUAAAGUAUAGUGAACAUUGAAGUGAAUUAAGAAUUGAUGCUGAUGGCUAGAAUUUUUUUUUUUACUAAAGAAACAAUGUUUUCAAUAAAACAAUCCUGAAAAGGAGGUUUUAAAAUUUUUAAUAAAGAGUCUAACUUAUGAUCACAAUGUGAAAAGAGAACUUGGAGAAAACUAAAAAAGCAUUAGAAGUUUUGCUUUUCUUUUUAAAUCAUUAGGUAAGAAUGCACUUAAGGUUAAUUGUGAACAAUUUAAUAUAGGUACGAGUUGAAUAGGAAACAGAAUAUCUGUUUUAUAAAUAAUCGUGGAAGAUAAAAGUAAACAAAACAUAGUCCAUACAAAAGACAAGAUGGAAAGGAAACAACGAGGAAUUAUUGAAAAAAAGAAAGUAUAAAGUCCAAUUAUGUGAGGUUAGUAGCACUAGUCUUCCAUUUCUUUUCUUCCAUUUCUCACGUUCUCAAAUUUUUAAUAAUAUGUGUUCCUUAUGUUCCAUUAUUAAUAAUAUGUGUUCCUUAUAUUCAAAAAUAUAUACCAUUGUUUAUAUAUAAAAAUCUGAUAGAGUUUAUUGUGUAAGAGCCUGGGCUCUGGAGCCAGGCUGCCUGUGUCACCACUUAUUAGAUGUGAGACCGUGGGCAAGUUGUUGAACUUUUGUUUCUAAGUUUAUCCUGUAAAAUGAUGAUAAUUAUAGUACUUACCUCACUGGGUGAUUAGGAAGAUUAAAUUAAAUGUAUUUAGAUUAAAUUAAAUGUAUUUAGAACACUGUGUGGUACUUAAAUAUGUAAGUAUCAUCUAGUAUUGUUACUGUUAUUUUACAAACAAACCUCAUUGUUUUACAGCUCCUUAGUGACCAAACAAAAUGACAUUUCCCUGUAACUGGUCCUUAGAUAGCACACCCAUUAGCAACAAGUUUCAUUUCUAUAUAUAGGUUGUACUUUGUCCUUACUACGAAUUCCCCAAUGCAGAGAUUUCUAGAAACCUACCUACUGUUGGUUGAAGAGGCACUUCUGAAUUCUUUCCAAGAAGCACUGACAAAAAUCAAACGUCUAUGUUCUUUAUUUUCAAGAAGCUCAGUUUCCGCUUGUGUCAUAUCUCUGAGGACAGGUACAAGAGCGAUUGAAACUGCCCAUUGAAGCCAAUAUUACAUUAAUUUCACCAGCCCUGAAUUAGAGAGAAUAUUUAUCUACUUCCCCAAUUUUCACCUUCUUCUCGAUGCAUGACCUUUUCCAGCUCCCUGAUCUGACAAUAGAAAGCUGUAUAAGAAAGAAGACAUUUGUUGUGACUUGAUUUUUCUGAACUGAACACCCCAGGAGGCCUGAAGAUGUGCUUUGAAACUUUAUUCCACCUGUCAGAUCCAAAAGAUCUGAAGAUUUGGAAGAUUUUGGUAGAAUUUUUUCAUGACCUAAAACAGUUUCAGUGAAAUAAAAACAAAAACAGAACAAAAAACAAAGCAAAAAACCCAAACAACUGUUAAGAUGCUGGGAUUUAUUGUUAGCUGUCUUAAUGGCUAAUGAAAUGACAAGACCUUCUAAUAACCCCUGCCAAUUAUACCGACAGGUGUUUACCAGGUAAAAUAUUGCAGUACCUGUAAGAGGAAAGGAUGCAAAUUGGUAUUUAUACAUUUGGAAGAACAGUCACCUUUGAUGUGCCUAUUUGGUUUUCAGGAUGUUGCUGGCCUCUGCUCUUCUAAGACUUCAGCUGCAGAACCCACUUGUGAACCCUCCUAGGGCUCUGGAGAAGAUCUAAUGGGAGAUUGAGUGUGGAAACUCUUUGGAAACCAUGAAGCACUCCGUAAAAGGGUUCAUAACUGAAGGUCAAGCUAACUUUCAGUUAGAGAAUUUCCCUAAUGUACGAAGACUCAAAAAUAUAUCUGCAGUCACGUGUUUCUCGCAACAUUAUUUACAAGAGCCAAGAUAUGGAAACAGCCUGUGUUCAUCAACAGAUGAAUGAUUAAAGAAGUUGUGGAAUAUAUAGACAAAGAAAUAAUAUUCAGGCAUAAAAAAGAAGGAAAUUCUGCCAUUUGCAAUAGUACGAAUGGAACUUGAGUGCAUUAUGUUAAGUGAAAUAAGUCAGAGAAAGACAAACACCGUAUGACUUCACUUGUAGGUGGAAUCUAAACAAGUCAUAGAAAAGAGAUCAGAUUUGCGGUUACCAAAAGUGGGAGCUGGCGAUGUAAUGUACAACACAAUGACUAUAGUUAACAAUGCUGUAUGGUAUAUUUGAAAGUUGUUAAGAGGGGAAAUCCUAAAA